rnacentral:rRNA from 1 species
UGAUCCUGGCUCAGGACGACACGCUGGCGGCGUGCCUGAUACAUGCAAGUCGAGCGAAUCUUUAGGAGCUUGCUCCUGAAAGAGUUAGCGGCGGACGGGUGAGUAACACGUGGGCAACCUGCCAUGUAAGACUGGGAUAACAUCGGGAAACCGAUGCUAAUACCGGAUAAUCCUUUUCCUCUCAUGAGGUAAAGUUGAAAGUCGGUUUCGGCUGACACUUACAGAUGGGCCCGCGGCGCAUUAGCUAGUUGGUGAGGUAACGGCUCACCAAGGCGACGAUGCGUAGCCGACCUGAGAGGGUGAUCGGCCACACUGGGACUGAGACACGGCCCAGACUCCUACGGGAGGCAGCAGUAGGGAAUCUUCCACAAUGGACGAAAGUCUGAUGGAGCAACGCCGCGUGAACGAUGAAGGCCUUCGGGUCGUAAAGUUCUGUUGUUAGGGAAGAACAAGUAUCGGAGUAACUGCCGGUACCUUGACGGUACCUAACCAGAAAGCCACG